ensembl:misc_RNA 7SK 7SK RNA
GGAUGUGAGGGCGAUCUGGCUGUGGCAUCUGUCACCCCAUUGAUCACCAGGGUUGAGUCGGCUGAUCUGACUGGCUAGGCGGGUGUCCCCUUCCUCCAUAUGCAUCCUUCCCAGAGCUGUGCGCUCUGUGGAAGAGGAAGACCAUCCCAGACAGAGUAGGUCCAGUCUUAGGUCAAGGGUAUAUGAGUAGCUACGCUCCCUUGCUAGAACCUCCAAGCAAGCUCUCGAGGACAUAGUUAAAAUAAUCAGGAUAAGGCUCACUGUUGUUUUUU